rnacentral:rRNA from 1 species
UACGUAGGGUGCAAGCGUUAAUCGGAAUUACUGGGCGUAAAGCGUGCGCAGGCGGUUUUGUAAGUCAGAUGUGAAAUCCCCGGGCUUAACCUGGGAACUGCAUUUGUGACUGGCGGACUCGAGUAUGGCAGAGGGGGUAGAAUUCCACGUGUAGCAGUGAAAUGCGUAGAUAUGCGGAGGAACACCGAUGGCGAAGGCAAUCCCUGGGCC